UACGAAGGGGGCUAGCGUUGCUCGGAAUCACUGGGCGUAAAGGGUGCGUAGGCGGGUCUUUAAGUCAGGGGUGAAAUCCUGGAGCUCAACUCCAGAACUGCCUUUGAUACUGAAGAUCUUGAGUUCGGGAGAGGUGGAGUGGAACUGCGAGUGUAGAGGUGAAAUUCGUAGAUAUUCGCAAGAACACCAGUGGCGAAGGCGGACUCACUG
rnacentral:rRNA from 1 species